rnacentral:rRNA from 1 species
CCUACGGGGGGCUGCAGUGGGGAAUAUUGGACAAUGGGGGGAACCCUGAUCCAGCCAUGCCGCGUGUGUGAAGAAGGCCCUCGGGUUGUAAAGCACUUUCAGUGAGGAAGAACGCCUGGUGGUUAAUACCCAUCAGGAAAGACAUCACUCACAGAAGAAGCACCGGCUAACUCCGUGCCAGCAGCCGCGGUAAUACGGAGGGUGCGAGCGUUAAUCGGAAUUACUGGGCGUAAAGCGCGCGUAGGUGGCUUGAUAAGCCGGUUGUGAAAGCCCCGGGCUCAACCUGGGAACGGCAUCCGGAACUGUCAAGCUAGAGUGCAGGAGAGGAAGGUAGAAUUCCCGGUGUAGCGGUGAAAUGCGUAGAGAUCGGGAGGAAUACCAGUGGCGAAGGCGGCCUUCUGGGCUGACACUGACACUGAGGUGCGAAAGCGUGGGGAGCAAACAGGAUUAGAUACCCCGGUAGUC